rnacentral:ribozyme from 13 species
UCUCUUUUUUUUUCAAAAGUUUUUUUUUUUUUUUAUUUCUUUCCUUCUCUUUCUCUCCUCAGACGAAUCGUGGGCAAUCAAUAGAAAGAAGAUCGAAAUAGUAAAACAAACCGUACAACACGAUUGAAGUCUGGAAAGGAAUAAUAAAAUUA